rnacentral:misc_RNA from 1 species
CCUCUCACAAUGGAAAAGGAUAAUAUUCUGAUGAUUCCCAAUGGAAAGCCAAGUCUCACAAACACGAAGAAAAUGCUGAAUCAAAGACAAAGGAAGAAGAGGGCAACCCUCAUACUGUCGUGGAUAAUCCAUGACAGUGACAUCAUAUUGGCAUAAAAUUUCAGCAAACUGGCUCCUUUUUUCACCCUCACGAAAAUUAAAAGCGAGAAAAGA